GGAGAGGAUAAUGGCUGCUGAAGAAAGAAUGCCGUUGGUUGAAAAGAGAGAUGAUCUGUUAGCUGUUUGACAACUACUCUGAGAGGAGGUUUUGAGAGGAGUUCCAGUUGUCUGUUCUCUUGGGUGGAGCUUCCGGCACCUUCCUGUUCCUAAUUACCAGGCUAUCAACCAGCGCUGCGUGCCAUUCUCCGCCAGUUCGUCCUGCAACCAUUGGUGAUUCAUCUGAAGCAGCACUGGUCCUAUUCAACUCAACAUCAACCGUCACCCUGCAAAUCAAAGGUUACAUACUUACCACACUCCUUGGCCUGCCCUCCUGUCUCCCUUGAAUCCACCUCACCCCCAACCCCCCCCAGGACCACCUGGAAUCUGGACCAUCUCCACACAUAUACUCCACUCUGGACACUCUCAUGGCUACCUCCUCCUGUGCCAACCGGCCUGCACCUGCAAGUAAGCACAUCCCCACAGCAAUGUCUACCCUCCUCAGACCACUCUCUUGUUUCCCUGUCCAGUAACAUUCCUCUCCUCUGUUGCACAAUUCCCUGUUUCGUGCUCUCCUUGUGAUCCCCGUGCCCAAACGUUUUCUCGUCCUCGGCUUCCCACGGCUCCUGUUCUCCUUCUUGGUUAAAAUCCAUGUUCUGGUUUGAGUUUUGGUUUUUAUGUAAAAAACCUUGUAAAUACUUCAUGCCAGUUGAGUCUUUUUUCAGGUCCAAACCACACUCAAGUCUCCAGUCUGUGACAUUAGUCUGUAGUAAUAGUAACAGGAUGGUCAAUAUCAGUUCUUAAAUGAUAAAUGCCAUAUGUGCACAGUCAAAGCAGACUGUCACAUAAUGAUGAACUCUGUUUUAAAGUUUAGAAUUAUUAGUGGCUAUGUAGAGUCCUUCCAAAUAUAUCCUAAAGGUCUUUUCUUAGUCCUGUAGUCUUUGUUGUUUCUGCUUUCAAACCU